CAGUGGGGCAGGUCUCGGGGGGCAGUGACAGAACAAGGCGCGAUGGUCUGGGUUGCAGUGGGGCAGGUCUCGGGGGCAGUGACAGAACCAGGCGCGAUGGUCUGGGUUGCAGUGGGGCAGGUCUCGGGGGCAGUGACAGAACCAGGCGCGAUGGUCUCAGCUGCAGUGGGGCAGGUCUCGGGGGGCAGUGACAGAACCAGGCGCGAUGGUCUGGGUUGCAGUGGGGCAGGUCUCGGGGGCAGUGACAGAACCAGGCGCGAUGGUCUGGGUUGCAGUGGGGCAGGUCUCGGGGGGCAGUGACAGAACCAGGCGCGAUGGUCUGGGUUGCAGUGGGGCAGGUCUCGGGGGGCAGUGACAGAACCAGGCGCGAUGGUCUGGGUUGCAGUGGGGCAGGUCUCGGGGGGCAGUGACAGAACAAGGCGCGAUGGUCUGGGUUGCAGUGGGGCAGGUCUCGGGGGCAGUGACAGAACCAGGCGCGAUGGUCUGGGUUGCAGUGGGGCAGGUCUCGGGGGGCAGUGACAGAACCAGGCGCGAUGGUCUGGGUUGCAGUGGGGCAGGUCUCGGGGGGCAGUGACAGAACCAGGCGCGAUGGUCUGGGUUGCAGUGGGGCAGGUCUCGGGGGGCAGUGACAGAACCAGGCGCGAUGGUCUGGGUUGCAGUGGGGCAGGUCUCGGGGGCAGUGACAGAACCAGGCGCGAUGGUCUGGGUUGCAGUGGGGCAGGUCUCGGGGGGCAGUGACAGAACCAGGCGCGAUGGUCUGGGUUGCAGUGGGGCAGGUCUCGGGGGGCAGUGACAGAACCAGGCGCGAUGGUCUGGGUUGCAGUGGGGCAGGUCUCGGGGGGCAGUGACAGAACCAGGCGCGAUGGUCUCAGGUUGCAGUGGGGCAGGUCUCGGGGGCAGUGACAGAACCAGG